GAAAACUGGGAAAACUUUGAGUGCAGAAAGAGGAGAGUGGAAUUUCCACGUGUAGCGGUGAAAUUGCGUAGAGAUGUGGAGGAACACCAGUGGCGAAGGCGACUCUCUGGUCUGUAACUGACGCUGAGGAGCGAAAGCGUGGGGAGCGAACAGGAUUAGAUACCCUGGUAGUCCACGCCGUAAACGAUGAGUGCUAAGUGUUAGGGGGUUUCCGCCCCUUAGUGCUGCAGCUAACGCAUUAAGCACUCCGCCUGGGGAGUACGGUCGCAAGACUGAAACUCAAAGGAAUUGACGGGGGCCCGCACAAGCGGUGGAGCAUGUGGUUUAAUUCGAAGCAACGCGAAGAACCUUACCAGGUCUUGACAUCCUCUGACAACCCUAGAGAUAGGGCUUUCCCUUCGGGGACAGAGUGACAGGUGGUGCAUGGUUGUCGUCAGCUCGUGUCGUGAGAUGUUGGGUUAAGUCCCGCAACGAGCGCAACCCUUGAUCUUAGUUGCCAGCAUUUAGUUGGGCACUCUAAGGUGACUGCCGGUGACAAACCGGAGGAAGGUGGGGAUGACGUCAAAUCAUCAUGCCCCUUAUGACCUGGGCUACACACGUGCUACAAUGGACAGAACAAAGGGCUGCAAGACCGCAAGGUUUAGCCAAUCCCAUAAAUCUGUUCUCAGUUCGGAUCGCAGUCUGCAACUCGACUGCGUGAAGCUGGAAUCGCUAGUAAUCGCGGAUCA
rnacentral:rRNA from 1 species